rnacentral:rRNA from 1 species
AUUGAACGCUGGCGGCAUGCCUAACACAUGCAAGUCGAGCGAGCGGCGGACGGGGGAGUAAUGUCUGGGAAACUGCCUGAUGGAGGGGGAUAACUACUGGAAACGGUAGCUAAUACCGCAUACCAUCAGAUGUGCCCAGAUGGGAUUAGCUAGAAGGUGGGGUAUCGCGUCACCUAGGCGACGAUCCCUAGCUGGUCUGAGAGGUUGAACAGUAACACUGGAAUUGAGACACGGUCCAGACUCCUACGGGAGGCAGCAGUGGGGAAUAUUGCACAAUGGGCGCAAGCCGGAUGCAGCCAUGCCGCUGGUGUGAAGAAGGCCUUCGGGUUGUAAAGCACUUUCAGCGGGGAGGCGUUACCCGCAGAAGAAGCACCGGCUAACUCCGUGCCAGCAGCCGCGGUAAUUC